rnacentral:rRNA from 1 species
CUAGCGACUUCAGAGUUUGAUCCUGGCUCAGGAUGAACGCUAGCUACAGGCUUAACACAUGCAAGUCGAGGGGCAGCAUGAGGUCAGCUUGCUGACUUUGAUGGCGACCGGCGCACGGGUGAGUAACGCGUAUCCAACCUUCCCUCCACUCGGCAAUAGCCCGUCGAAAGGCGGAUUAAUGGGCGAUGAUAUCCAGUGAUCUCCUGAGAUCUGGAUUAAAGGUAUUCUCCGGUGGUGGAUGGGGAUGCGUCUGAUUAGCUUGUUGGCGGGGUAACGGCCCACCAAGGCAUCGAUCAGUAGGGGUUCUGAGAGGAAGGUCCCCCACAUUGGAACUGAGACACGGUCCAA